UUGAUUGUUACUGGCUUUGAAGGCAAAUCUCAAAGAUUGUUCGAUUAGCACGCCGUUGGGUCCUUCCAAAAUGACUCCAGCACCGCUACCCUGCUGGUUCGACGAUCCAUCCACCGAGAGUACCCAACGGAAAUCGUCUCCUUCAACUCGCGUCGCCUCUGAUGAGAGCUCAACCACGAAAUCUGCAAAGAUUUGCCCCUUGAUCGGGCCUCGGGGCUCAUAUUUAAUAUCAAACUCUGACAACUCUACGGCCCACUUCACCAUCCUUCCCGCAACGUCA
rnacentral:lncRNA from 1 species